rnacentral:lncRNA from 1 species
GAAUACUGGUGAACAACUCUUCCACGCUUGCCAAGUUUACUUCUUGUGAUGAAUAAACCAUCCUGGUAUCAUGAGUUCAUGAUAUACUCAGAAUGUUUUUGUUUAUCAGUCCGUAUUUCUCUCUGUUCAGCUGACUUGUGCCCAGAACUGCACAGUUAUUUACUGUGCUCUCUUUAUAAAUAUUUUACCAUUAGUUUUUUGUUUGUUUGUUUUUGCUACCUAUGUAUACACCUCUUUCUCAUCUUGCCAAGGAAACUAUCAUUAUUUGCAUCUUCCAAGACUUUCUAACUCAUGAAGAAAACUGCACUGGGACUGAGUAGUAUGAGUUGGUUGACAGUGUGCCCUCAUUUUAGUCUUCAUCUUAUUUGGCAGAUAUGUUUACUUUUUGGAGAAAAUACAUUUUUCUUCUUUUUUUGUUUUUCGUGGAGUAAGUUUCAGGAAAUGGUGUGGAAUACACAUUUUGCUCCAUUGUCAUUUACCACCAGUCUUAAAAAUAGGACAUUUUCCUUUGCAGGGGACAUGGAUGAAGCUGGAAAGCAUCACCCUCAGCAAACUAACUCAGGGACAGAAAACCAAACACCGCAUGCUCUCACUCGGGAACAACAGGUUUGAAUACUGAUGAAGUGGAACUUCAGAGUCACGGUGUGCAUUGAACCGGAGCGAGGCAGAAAAAUACAGCAGACUCAUGACCAAACAGAAAGUGCCCCAGCCUGUUGACGCAGCAUAUAUUCUGAGCCCAACCAGUAAGUAGCAGACAUUGACAUGAAUGAAUAUGGUUAAAGGCAAAUGAAACAGCCAUCAAAGAUGUUUCUCUCCCUGACUCAGUGGCUGCAGGAUUUCAGAGGCACCCAGCAACAAGGGAAGGGGGAAUCUGCAUUAAAUAUUCUGAGCAGAGCAUGGGUAGCUGGUUCCCGACUAGAUAAACAAUUUGACAAACACCUAGGAAGAAUGUUUCUAACCUUCAUAAAACUGAAAGGACAGGCAAGAAAUGAGAUGGACGACACUGUCAUGGAAAUUACAGUCUCAGCGAUUUGGAGACAUUUCAUUCUGCAGAGGAGCUGGCACACUGGAGAAGGGAUAAACAGGAAGUUUAAAA